GAGUUUGAUCAUGGCUCAGGACGAACGCUGGCGGCGUGCUUAACACAUGCAAGUCGAACGGUGAUCCCUGGCUUGCUGGGGUGAUCAGUGGCGAACGGGUGAGUAACACGUGAGUAACCUGCCCAUGGCUCUGGGAUAACCUGGGGAAACCGAGGCUAAUACCGGAUAUGACGCGCACAGGCAUCUGUUGCGUGUGGAAAGUUUUUCGGCCAUGGAUGGGCUCGCGGCCUAUCAGCUUGUUGGUGGGGUAAUGGCCUACCAAGGCGACGACGGGUAGCCGGCCUGAGAGGGCGAUCGGCCACACUGGGACUGAGACACGGCCCAGACUCCUACGGGAGGCAGCAGUGGGGAAUAUUGCGCAAUGGGCGAAAGCCUGACGCAGCGACGCCGCGUGAGGGAUGAAGGCCUGGUUGUAACCGUCUUCUAGCUCUGACGAAGCGU
rnacentral:rRNA from 1 species